rnacentral:antisense_RNA from 1 species
GUGCGAUGACCGUGCCCCGGAAACAUCCCAGUGAAUGGAAAGAAGCCAACGUCCCCUCCCUCCCUGCUUAUACCCUCAACUUUGCCAAUGAGGACCCUAAAUACCAGCUGCACUACAGGGGAUGUAACUACAUACACCGUCACCAAAGUUGCAGCCUGGCCAAGAAAUGCCAGGGGACGUUGCGGCGAUUGCAGACUCCGCGGUGACUGUGUAGAUUCGUCCAGAAUUCGCCCGUGUAGCGCGGGGAGAGGCGAGAGUGAAGGCCAAAAAGAAAGAAGAAUAAAUGGGACAUUACACAAGGCGUGUUUCUCUGAUUUUCCACUUUCUAUCC